rnacentral:misc_RNA from 1 species
UCGAAACCUGCAAAGCAGACCGCGAACAUGUGCUUAACAAAAUCGGGACGGCAGAGAGGGGGCUCCGUCCUCCUCCCCGCCGCCCCAACCCCGUGCGGGGCGUGCGCUCGCGCCGUCCGUGCGGGUCUAACAAACUCGGGCGCCGGAAUGCGCCAAGGAAAACUGAAGGGAUCGUCCCCCACCCGUCGCCCGUGCGCGGUGCGAUCGGCGUGGAUCGGAUGUCCGUCGUAAUACCAUAA